rnacentral:lncRNA from 1 species
CUUAAAUUUAUUUAUGCAAUAAAAAUGAGUAAUAUUUUUGUAAUCACAAAUCCUUCUCUUACACACUUAAAAGAAUUGAAAAGUACUUGUAUCAAAGAAAACAAGUUAGCCUAUAAAUUCAAAAACUAGAAGAUAAACCUAAAUUUCUUCUCUUCACAACACUACACCGCCCGCCACGAAUUGUGCUUUUGGAGGAAUGAUUUUUCCUUUCAAUUGACCUCCUCCUUUCUAGUAGCAGCUUGCUUUUUCUAACGCUCUCUUCUCACCAUCAAAAUUGUUUGCAUUCAUCUCAACCAGCUAUACUUCAAGUUCUCCAAGUUUCACCUGUACAAAUGCAUAUUUGUUGCAAAACUCUCUCAUCAGUCCAAAAGAAUACACAGCAUAAAGAGCAGAAAACUUACAAGAUUAUAAUAGUAGGGAUACACUCACACGGUUGCAUAUUGACAAAAAUUUGGGUUCAUACAAAUGUUUAAAGGUGGUCCCCACCACCAGUCCACCGCCUGAACUUAAUCAUACAAUUUUUUUUUUUUUUUUUUUUUUUUUGACAUAAUUAACCAACAGAUAAAGUUUGACCAAAGUAAUACAAUUAUAACUUGACUUUUGACUUGACUAAAGGAACUAGGAUAUUACAAAUUCACCCCCAAUUUCGUCCUUGAAAUUUAAUUGGCUAAGGUCCAUUAGGAAUGGUAAACAAGCAAGCGAGCAAGGCUAACUAAGAGUAACUGAACUAAUCCAUUCCAUGAUUUCAUUAAGGCCAAUCUGCUUAUUGAAUUUACAUGCUGAUGAUCUCUGUAAUAACCAAGCUAAUCCUAUUUCUAAUUAUCUUCCUUUCCUUGAUUAGUUCGCUCACUACACCCCAAUAUUGACCCUUGCCUUCUCAUCUUAUGCUAUAUCGAAAUAAUUUCAAUUUUGGCUUGAAGUGUUAAUGCUUUCUCCAGUUACCAUAUGUCUGCCCAUAUAUAUACCGAUAUUAGUGGCCCAUUUUCCUCACCUAAACUCAUAAAUAUUCAACGCUAUCACAUGAACCCAUUUCCUAUCCCUUCCCCCUCUCUUCUUUAAUUAAUUUAAAGGCCUCCUCUCCAUUUCAUCUAUUUACCAUCUUUUUUUAAUUUUGUUUUAUAAAUAUAUAUACAUGUACACAACCAAACUCUUGAAUUGUAAUUUUCCUUCUCCUCUUCAGAUAUCGCUUUGUCAGUGCCCUUUAGAUUAUUUCCAUCCACCUAUUAAUAAUCGAAAUCUCUUAGUAGCCUCCAAAAAACAAUGGAACAUAGCCCAGGGCAAAUGGUCCUGCUCCUCUAUUUUCUAUUCCAUUACUUUCACUAUCUCACAUAUACAUACGCAUAUACUAAUCUAACUUCUAAGCAACAUACAACUCACCACUAUCGUCUUCAACUCCUAAUUAUUUUCCUUUGUCAUCAUUUUUUCCUUGUAUAUUUAAUACUUGCAAGCACGGCACCUUCAUAUAAGUAGAAAAUAUAAAAAUCUGGCUUAAAUCCUAAAUUUAUUACCUUACUGUAAUAGAAAACGAAAUAAGAAGCUUGAGCUCAACAACUUCUCUGUUUCAGUUUCUUUUGCUUUCCUCGAACAAAACAAAACAACCAACAUUAAGAAACUAUCUUUGCUUCCUUAUCAAUAUUUAUAAUCUUGAUUACCUUGUUUCUCGCCAUUAGACUUCAUUCCUUGUUAGCAUAAGAUGAUCCUAUAUCCUAUUUAUAAGUUUCUACAAUCUAUUCUGCAACAAUAAAAACUAAAAAUACCAUCACGUCUAAUCAAGGUCCAUAUUUGUUGAUUAUCCUAGCUUUCAGUAUACACUAACAGAUGAAUAAAUAGCAGAUUUCAUAACUUCAUCUAUUGCUGCAGUGUUAAUUACAACUGUCCAAAUCCAUUAAUCAGAACUCCCUUAAUUCAUUAUACUCAGUGGAAUCACAACCCAAUUCAUCUUUUUUUUUUUUCCCCCACUAUACAUAAAUGCCUGCCUAUAUGAUACUUUAAAAAUUGAAUCUUAGACAAGCAGCAACAACUUCAUGGCCAUGGACACAAGGCAUUUAACAAAGUAAGGAUUAUACUCUCUUGAUCCUAGUUCCUUAAGACAAGCAGCAGCAACUUCUACAUCACUACAUCACCAUUGUUGAAUAUUCCUCUAUGAUGGAUACCACAACUUUCUUGUAUUCGUCUAGUGGAUUUAAAGUAUUAUGUCUUGACUAGUUAUAAUUAGCAUACAAUAAUUCCAUCCAUUUAGUACAGUUUCUGACAGUCCUAUCCGCAGUAGAAGUUUAACGUGUAUACCAACUAUAUUACUUUUAUACUCUCAACAUAAGAUGGCAUAAAACAUAGACAUUAGUUCUCUAAAAUUAGCAAUAUUUCCAUAUCCUUAAAAAUUCCACUCAGACAAUCAACUACACAAUCAAAUUGCAGAAUAAUGUCAACAGACAAUUACCCAGUCCUCAUCCAAACGCAUCGAAAAUGGCAUUUUGCUCUGGCGAAAUCAUAAAUCCAAUUGAAGUUUCAAAUUACACGAAUCGAUAAACUAAAAAAUGAAAAACCUAUAUGUGUAAAAAAUGAAAACCUAUAUGUGAUUCAAUAAUUGACCAAAAAAAUCACUAAAUCGACAGAAUUGAAAAAAUCACUAUGUACCAAUGAAAAAUCACUAAAUCCACAGAAUUGAAAAAAUAAAAUAUAAAAUCGAUGAUAAAAGUCAAUAACUCAUUCAAUUUAAGAGAACAAAUGACGAGGAAACCUUCAGUCCUUUCCUUUCCCUGGGAUUUUUACGAGAAAAAACGGAAAUUUUAAUCAAUUGAAUUAUGAUGUCAUCAUAAUAGCAUCAAAGUAUUAUUCAUCUAGUGGAUUUAAAGUAAAUUAUUCAUCCCUUCUUCACAUAGAUUUAAGACAAAUUUUUUACACAAAAUUGGCUACAAAAUGAAUUUGGGGAAAACGGUGGGUUCAAGGCUGUGGAUCCGGCCCGAGAUGUGUGCCAAACGAUCCACCCUCUCUCCACUAUCAUCUUCCUCCUUGCUUCUCUCUCCAUUUUUCUGAAAUAACAUGGGAAAAAUAACCAAAUAUAGUCAAAAUAAAUUUCAAACCAGUAAAACAAUAGAUCGAGAAACAAUCACACUAUAAACAACAAAAAUUGAUUAAUAAACAUUCUAUCAGCUUUCUUCGUUUUGACCUUCGAUCUACCUCCUUUCAUCGCAAAACCUACAAAGAACCAGCGAAAAUAAUUGAAACUCGGUCACAAAUCGUUGUGAGUCGGAAGAGUUAGCGACGCACAACCACCUCUUCUAGCGGUGCAUACGAGGACGGGGAGAUUUGCAGUAAACGAGUUCUCCUUUUAAGAGGUUAGGAAUUUGGAAAUUUUAAUAAAAAGGAAAUGGAAAUGAGAAGUGGAUCGGAGAGAAAUAUAUAUUUAAGUCAUAUUGUGCAAUGGAAAUGAACCGAGUUAGGUUAAUAUUGUAAUAAAAGAUGAGUGACUUUUUGCAAGGUUAAUAGAACGCUGUUAGAAGUGCCCUUUCGCAAAU